rnacentral:misc_RNA from 1 species
UCCCAAGCCGUGUACGAGGCCAUCCAAAAGUCCAACGGUUUUUACCAUGCUACUGUUGAUCCACACUGUCGCAGUCGAAUGAAUGUCCCCUUCAGAAUCGGGGGCCCAGAUGGGGAUGAGGCCCUAGAGAAGAAGUUUUUAGAAGAGGCCAGUAAAAGGGGAAUGAUUCAGCUGAAAGGACACAGAUCUGUCGGAGGAAUUCGAGCUUCUCUAUACAACGCGCUGUCUCUAGAAGAAGCCAACCUUCUAGUCUCCUUCAUGCAAGAGUUCUACAUUCAGCACAAGACUGUGACCUCGUGUUAAGGUCAAUGAUACACCAUAACCUCAUCUGACCUUGAGGUCAAAGGUCAAUAAACCAAACAAAGCAGCAGCAUGUCAUCCAGAAGAUAGAUCAGCCUUGACCUAAUAGUUAGGGGUCAAGGUCUUCAUGGGAAUUUUUUUUUCAUGGAUGUUUAGAUGUGAGGGGGUGUGUAACAGUUGAACAUGGGGGCUUCAUUUUGGGCUCUGAAUUUGCAUGUACAAUGUACAUAUCAUAUUUUUUUGCUAUGCAAGCAACCAACAAUGUUCCAUGUGAAAAUCAUGAAGUUUACUUCACUUUGUAUUAUUGAAGUGAAAAAUCUCUAACCAAAGACAAACAUCAUUUUUAGUUUAUAUUUUAUUUUAAACAUAUUGGCAUUUUAGCACUUCAUAAUCUUUAAGUGUUUUUAUCAACUUCUGUCUUGUAACGUUGAAAUACAAUUUUAAACAAAUGAAUACAUUUAUCAUGCUUAUAUUAUGAUAUAGGCUGAGAGUUUUAGUCAUUUAUGGAUAAUACUGAAAGUGGUUUUAUUCUUGUAAAUUGUAUGUAUGUGUUUGUGUGUGUUAAAAGUGAUGUGAGAUUGAAUUACAUGUGUGUACUUGUGUAAAUCUGUGAAAUUGUAAUAGGUAAAUGAGACUUUUUGAAUGAAAAAUGACAUAUGUGUAAGAAUGGAUACAAAUUUUCAUCUUCGUGUUUGUUAUUCAUUGAUUCUUGAUCUUGUCUUAUGGUAUUGCAAAAUAAUUGUAUACUUGACAGAUGUCAGGUCUGACAAUGAAUAAUUGCCACCAAUUGUGUGUGCAUACAGUUUAUGAAUUUCAUUGGCUCAGUGCUAAAGAUUAGUCAAUUUAACAUGAUGUUGUUAUCAUAGACCAAUAUAAUAUAUUUUUAUACAACGAACAAAUAUGAAUUUUUGUGCACUGAUGCAUUAUACACUAGGUUGUCUUAUCAGUUGGGUUUCUAUGGCAACUGUUUGAAAUGCAUAUAAAUGUACCUGAAAUGUUCAGGACCAACAGCAAUAAAAUUUAGUUCAAAACACC